rnacentral:rRNA from 1 species
UACGUAGGCAGCAAGCGUUGUUCGGAGUUACUGGGCGUAAAGCGCACGUAGGCGGCUUCUUAAGUCGGUGGUGAAAUCCUGGAGCUCAACUCCAGAACUGCCUUCGAUACUGGGAGCUCGAGUCCGGGAGAGGUGAGUGGAACUGCGAGUGUAGAGGUGAAAUUCGUAGAUAUUCGCAAGAACACCAGUGGCGAAGGCGGCUCACUGGCCCGGUACUGACGCUGAGGUGCGAAAGCGUGGGGAGCAACAGGG